AUUAGGAGCACAACAUACCGGAGGAGUAAACGGGCAUUCCAUUUUGGUUCUUUCCGAAAUCGAAGCACUAACGAAAUCUCUGCCACGGGACAGCGACACCGUACGACCUGUGCAUUGCUUUCUCACCGUCAACAACACACCGCCACCCGCUAUCAAACCUCAACCUAAACCCAAACCAAACCAACCCUAAUUCUUCCUCAUUCUUCAAUUCUUCCCAAAAAUCGCCUUCUUCAUCGUUUCCAGAACAAAUUCCACCCGAAGUAUGUUUUCAACGGCCAUCAUGUAUAUAAGAAUGGUAUAGUGUAAAUUAUUGGAAGAUACCUAUAUAAAAGCAUGGGUAGUAGUGACAUGGACAAAACCCCUAAGGAGAAGGAGUCUAAGACACCUCCAGCUACGUCACAGGAGCAGUCUCCAACAACUGGCAUGGCCACUAUUAAUCCUGACUGGUCUAACUUUCAGACAUAUUCUCCCAUACCUCCUCACAGUUUCUUGGCAUCAAGUCCCCAAGCCCACCCAUUUAUGUGGGGUGUCCAGCAUGUUAUGCCUCCCUAUGGCACCCCACCGCAUCCUUAUGUAGCAAUGUAUCCCCAUGGUGGCAUUUAUGCCCAUCCAUCCAUUCCUCCGGGCUCUUAUCCUUUCAGUCCUUUUGCCAUGGCUUCUCCAAAUGGUAUUGCAGAUUCUUCGGGAAAUAACCCAGGCACCAUUGAAGUUGGUGCUAAACCUCCUGAGGUGAAGGAAAAAUUACCAGUCAAAAGAUCAAAAGGAAGUGCUAGUGGGGGUAGUUUGAAUAUGUGGAUUACAGGAAAAAAUAGUGAACUUGGUAAAACAAACGGAGAAUCUGCUAAUGGAAUUCAUUCCAAGAGAAAAUAUAUUGGUAGGGCAGGGUUUCCAAAUGGUGAUAGUGCAAGUGACGGAACUAGUGAAGGAAGUGGUGAGAAUUCCCAGAAUGAUUCUCAAUUGAAAUCCGGGGAGAGGCAGGACUCUUUUGAAGAUGAACCAUCUCAAAAUGGAAGUUCGGCUCCUCAAAACGGGGUACAUAGUAGACCUCAGACACUUGUUAACCAAACUAUGCCUGCCAUACCUAUAUCUACUGCAAGUGCUCCCGGAGCAAUUCCUGGUCCCACAACUAAUUUAAAUAUAGGAAUGGAUUACUGGGGCACGCCAACUUCAUCCGUCAUUCCUGCACUGCAUGGAAAGGUUUCUUCUACUGCCGUUGCUGGGGGGAUGAUUACUGCUGGGUCAAGAGAUGGUGUUCAGUCACAAAUUUGGCUACAGGACGAAAGAGAGCUUAAAAGACAAAGGCGGAAGCAGUCUAAUAGAGAAUCUGCACGCAGAUCCAGGUUACGGAAGCAGGCUGAAUGCGAUGAACUAGCUCAGCGUGCUGACGUUUUGAAAGAAGAAAAUGCCACUCUCCAAGCAGAAGUAAGCAGGAUCAGGAGUGAGUACGAGCAGCUACUUUCUGAGAAUGCUUCCCUCAAGGAGAGACUUGGGGAGAUACCUGGUGUUGCUACGCCUGGGAACGAGGAUGUUAGGUCUGGCCAGAAUGAUCAGCAUGUUACUAAUGACACUCAACAAAGCCGUCAGAAGGAGGCUGUGCAGGGUGUUCAUUAGGACCUUGCUCCCUGCUGCAUGUUCCUUUUUUAGAAAGAUAACCUAACCAAGUAGCAAGAGCAAGUUCUUGUUUUUGGAUAGCUUUCGGUUCAAAUUGUAUUGAAGGUAGGGUGUGAAUACAUGAUGGUCAUACCUUCUCUGCUACUUCAAAAGUUAGUGUUAGCAGUAAGAAGCAUGAUUAGUGAAACUAAUUAUUGUCCAUUAUAUGGAUUGCGGUGCUUCUGAGCAAAUAAUUAAUCAGGAAUAUAUGUUAAGGAAAUGGAAUGCAAGUUCA